UACGUAGGAGGCAAGCGUUGUCCGGAAUUACUGGGCGUAAAGGGCUCGUAGGCGGCCAACUAAGUCAGACGUGAAAUCCCCAGGCUUAACCUGGGAACUGCGUCUGAUACUGGAUGGCUUGAAUUCGGGAGAGGGAUGCAGAAUUCCAGGUGUAGCGGUGAAAUGCGUAGAUAUCUGGAGGAAUACCGGUGGCGAAGGCGGCAUCCUGGACCGACAUUGACGCUGAGGAGCGAAAGCUAGGGGAGCAAACGGG
rnacentral:rRNA from 1 species